GGGGAAGAGUGAGUGUCCGUCCGGAUUUCACAGUACAGUAUGUGGGUUGCGGUCGACGCAUCAGUUUCGGGCUGUUGUUGCAUUUUGGUGCCGUAAUAAAUACAUUUGGUAAAUUUUAAUGUCCUCCUCCCAUUUUUCAGUCAAUUUGAGCGGAACACUUGGAUUUGCCGCUGCCCUUUUUUGGGGCCACUUAAAACAUAUAAAUUUAGUGAUUUGCCGAGUCAGUGAAGUCGUCUCGCGGCGAGUAUCUUGUCUGAUACCUGCACUCUGUUGAAGAUGCGCAUGUGCAUGAGAAGAGCUGCUGUAGCCGUUAUCGUGUUGCUUUAAAGGAUUCAACGUCGAACCGCAGUUCAGCAUAAAUUGUUCAUCUUCGACUGUCUGCAGCGGUUUGGACAUACCCAUUCCAGCACACCUCUUUGGCCACGCGCCCCGGCCAUGCCGUAUUUAGGUCAACUCGAGUCGCGAUUCAUGCGGUAGCCAACAUUUAAAGGUUUAAUUCAAUGAAAGUUGCAUGCGUGCCUCCGACAAUGACGCCGAUGCUGGCCAUUGCAUCCACAAUGCCCAGAGAUACGGUUUUUCAUUUCUUCUGUAGGUGAAAUUAUGCAGUGCCUCAAUGCCGACUAAAUUGGUAGUAUGUGGCAGCGGCGUGAAAAUUUUUGCCAGGGCCAGAGUUCAGCAGGCCGGGCAGAGAUCCUCUUCCCCUUCUUUCUUUAGCUCCUUUCCUGGCCGGUCAUAAAUUUGAUUUUAAGCGUUGAGAAGCAGUGAAAGCGUCUACAAUUGACUGAACAGCAUUCUGAUCACAAGACAUACAGGAAGGUAUCUUUGGUAACAUUAUAAAAUAGACGUAUAGGCACGAUGUCAACUAAUCACAUGUAUACUUGCAGGAUCUGCAUAACAUAGUGAUCCAAUUAAAUCAAGCAAAUUGUAUAAUGGCAAGGAUAUGUUUGCUCUAUUAGGCACGAUUAAGCUAAAAAGAAAUCUAAGUCUGCUAAGGAAAAAAUCGUGAUGUUCAUGAUGAUAUUUACGAUAUUGAAUCAAGCUAGAAAAAAAGUGGUGACAGAUAUGUAAAAUAUGUAGGUUCUCAUUUAGCAUAUAUCAAGAAUAAUUUACUUUUCGAUACCAUAACCGAUCUCCAUACUAAAUUAUCAAUUUAAACAAUUUUAAACGGAAGAACCUAGCGCUUGCGUAACAUUUGGGACCUGGUAAGCUUAGGGAAUAGUCCCAGUUACAGAUAAACACAAAAACUAGAAAAUCUAUACUCCCGAUAGAAUUAAAUAUUUAUAUGAGGGUAUUUUCAUCGAAUAAAGUUCGUACUUUAUU